AUUAUAAUGAUGCUAUUUAUUACCGCCCCAGUCUGAUGUUCCAUGACUGAUUGGUUUUUCUUAUCUGAU